GAAAAUCCCGAUUACACAGAUCUGUGUAAAAAAAUUACACAGUUUGUUGAACAUGUUCUAGCUGUCAAAACUGUGUAGAUUUAUAACACAGAUCUGUGUUAAAAAUUACACAGAUUUCCGUUCAGCUUUCCUUUCAAACCUGGGUAAAAAAUGUAAAAAAGCUAAGAUGGCGUCUUUCAUGCAGAACUUUGAUUUUUAACAUGCUGAUUAUCAAUUGGACUGUAUACCCACAGAAAGCAGUUGGAUUCAUGAGUUUGUUUGGUGUCCCACAUAUAUUCUCACGGAAAGGAAAGGCUGGUGCUAGGUCGGAACCUCGAGUAUCCAGAGUUGAACACCAGAGCACAAGCCCGCGCUUACAAUUUCCCGGUUCCGGUUCCAGGCGGGAUCUUCCAGAGGCAGCACGAGUUAACACUGCGUCGCGUCCAAGUGUUCCAGCUUUUUCGAUAUUUAUUUAAUAUUGUUUU